rnacentral:rRNA from 1 species
AGAUGGCGACCGGCGCACGGGUGAGUAACACGUAUCCAACCUGCCGAUAACUCGGGGAUAGCCUUUCGAAAGAAAGAUUAAUACCCGAUGGCAUAAUAGAACCGCAUGGUUUGAUUAUUAAAGAAUUUCGGUUAUCGAUGGGGAUGUGUUCCAUUAGGCAGUUGGUGGGGUAACGGCCCACCAAACCUUCGAUGGAUAGGGGUUCUGAGAGGAAGGUCCCCCACAUUGGAACUGAGACACGGUCCAA